rnacentral:rRNA from 1 species
GAAUUGCGAUAAGUAAUGUGAAUUGCAGAUUUUCAGUGAAUCAUCGAAUCUUUGAACGCACCUUGCGCUCCUUGGUAUUCCGAGGAGCAUGCCUGUUUGAGUGUCAUUGAAUUCUCAACCAUGUCUUGGAUUUCAUUUCAAGGCUUGGCUUGGAGUUGGGGGUUUGCUGGCGGCGAAAAGCUGUCAGCUCUCCUGAAAUGCAUUAGCAAAGGGCGGCGAGUCUYUGACAUGCACGGCCUUUGACGUGAUAAUGAUCGUCGUGGCUGGAGUGUCACRGGACAUGCAUGAAUCGUCCGUGCUUCCAAUCCCUACCUAGCCACAAGUUCGAGCACUUGGCUACUAGUCGGUCGCGAGACCGACGAACGCCCGGUGUGCGGCAGYUGGCUUGUGUUUUUGCAAACUUGACCUCAAAUCAGGUAGGACUACCCGCUGAACUUAA